CCUUCGGGCCUCUUGCCAUCGGAUGUGCCCAGAUGGGAUUAGCUAGUAGGUGGGGUAACGGCUCACCUAGGCGACGAUCCCUAGCUGGUCUGAGAGGAUGACCAGCCACACUGGAACUGAGACACGGUCCAGACUCCUACGGGAGGCAGCAGUGGGGAAUAUUGCACAAUGGGCGCAAGCCUGAUGCAGCCAUGCCGCGUGUAUGAAGAAGGCCUUCGGGUUGUAAAGUA
rnacentral:rRNA from 1 species